rnacentral:rRNA from 1 species
UACAGAGGUCUCAAGCGUUGUUCGGAUUCAUUGGGCGUAAAGGGUGCGUAGGCGGCGCGGGAAGUCGGGGGUGAAAUCUUGGAGCUUAACUCCGAAACUGCAUUCGAUACUGCCGUGCUUGAGGACUGGAGAGGAGACUGGAAUUUACGGUGUAGCGGUGAAAUGCGUAGAUAUCGUAAGGAAGACCAGUGGCGAAGGCGGGUCUCUGGACAGUUCCUGACGCUGAGGCACGAAGGCCAGGGGAGCAAACGGG